rnacentral:rRNA from 1 species
AGUAACACGUGGAUAACCUACCUAUAAGACUGGGAUAACUUCGGGAAACCGGAGCUAAUACCGGAUGAUAUUUUGAACCACAUGGUUCAAAAGUGAAAGACGGUCUUGCUGUCACUUAUAGAUGGAUCCGCGCUGCAUUAGCUAGUUGGUAAGGUAACGGCUUACCAAGGCAACGAUGCAUAGCCGACCUGAGAGGGUGAUCGGCCACACUGGAACUGAGACACGGUCCAG